rnacentral:rRNA from 1 species
AACGAACGCUGGCGGCAGGCCUAAUACAUGCAAGUCGAACGGCAGCACAGCAGAGCUUGCUCUGUGGGUGGCGAGUGGCGGACGGGUGAGGAAUACAUGGGAAUCUGCCCAGUCGUGGGGGAUAACGUAUGGAAACGUACGCUAAUACCGCAUGCGCCCUAAGGGGGAAAGCCGGGGACCGCAAGGCCUGGCGCGAUUGGAUGAGCCCAUGUUCGAUUAGCUAGUUGGCGGGGUAAAGGCCCACCAAGGCGACGAUCGAUAGCUGGUCUGAGAGGAUGAUCAGCCACACUGGAACUGAGACACGGUCCAGACUCCUACGGGAGGCAGCAGUAGGGAAUAUUGGACAAUGGGGGCAACCCUGAUCCAGCCAUGCCGCGUGAGUGAAGAAGGCCCUCGGGUUGUAAAGCUCUUUUGUCCGGAAAGAAAAGACAUCUGGUUAAUACCCGGGUGUUCUGACGGUACCGGAAGAAUAAGCACCGG